AUCUAUGUCCAUACCACCCUGAAUGUGCUCAAUCCCAUCUGAUUUUGGAAGCUUAGAGGGCUGGGCCUGGUUAGUAAUUGGAGGAAGAUUCAAGUUAGAUUUGAUU
rnacentral:rRNA from 1 species